UUUAAUUGAAGAGUUUGAUCAUGGCUCAGAUUGAACGCUGGCGGCAGGCCUAACACAUGCAAGUCGAGCGGCAGCACAGAGGA
rnacentral:rRNA from 1 species